rnacentral:rRNA from 1 species
AGUGAACGCUGGCGGUAGGCCUAACACAUGCAAGUCGAACGGCAGCACAGUAAGAGCUUGCUCUUACGGGUGGCGAGUGGCGGACGGGCGAGGAAUACGUCGGAAUCUACUUUUUCGUGGGGGAUAACGUAGGGAAACUUACGCUAAUACCGCAUACGACCUACGGGUGAAAGCAGGGGAUCUUCGGACCUUGCGCGAUUGAAUGAGCCGAUGUCGGAUUAGCUAGUUGGCGGGGUAAAGGCCCACCAAGGCGACGAUCCGUAGCUGGUCUGAGAGGAUGAUCAGCCACACUGGAACUGAGACACGGUCCAGACUCCUACGGGAGGCAGCAGUGGGGAAUAUUGGACAAUGGGCGCAAGCCUGAUCCAGCCAUACCGCGUGGGUGAAGAAGGCCUUCGGGUUGUAAAGCCCUUUUGUUGGGAAAGAAAAGCAGCAGGUUAAUACCCCGCUGUUCUGACGGUACCCAAAGAAUAAGCACCGGCUAACUUCGUG